ACGGAAGGCAGCAGUGGGGAAUAUUGGGCAAUGGGGGAAACCCUGACCCAGCAACGCCGCGUGAAGGAAGAAGGCUUUCGGGUUGUAAACUUCUUUUACCAGGGACGAAGGACGUGACGGUACCUGAAGAAAAAGCAACGGCUAACUACGUGCCAGCAGCCGCGGUAAUACGUAGGUUGCAAGCGUUGUCCGGAUUUACUGGGUGUAAAGGGCGUGUAGGCGGAGGAGCAAGUCAGAUGUGAAAUCCCGGGGCUCAACCCCGGAACUGCAUUUGAAACUGUUUCCCUUGAGUAUCGGAGAGGCAAGCGGAAUUCCUAGUGUAGCGGUGAAAUGCGUAGAUAUUAGGAGGAACACCAGUGGCGAAGGCGGCUUGCUGGACGACAACUGACGCUGAGGCGCGAAAGCGUGGGGAGCAAACAGGAUUAGAUACCCUGGUA
rnacentral:rRNA from 1 species